ACGGGUGAGUAACGCGUGGGAAACCUGCCUCAUACAGGGGGAUAACAGUUGGAAACGGCUGCUAAUACCGCAUAAGCGCACAGAGCUGCAUGGCUCAGUGUGAAAAACUCCGGUGGUAUAAGAUGGACCCGCGUUGGAUUAGCUAGUUGGUGAGGUAACGGCCCACCAAGGCGACGAUCCAUAGCCGGCCUGAGAGGGUGAACGGCCACAUUGGGACUGAGACACGGCCCAGACUCCUACGGGAGGCAGCAUG
rnacentral:rRNA from 1 species